rnacentral:rRNA from 1 species
CCUACGGGAGGCUGCAGUGGGGAAUAUUGGACAAUGGGCGAAAGCCUGAUCCAGCCAUGCCGCGUGUGUGAAGAAGGCCUUCGGGUUGUAAAGCACUUUCAGUGGGGAAGAAAGCCUUGGGGCUAACACCCUCGAGGAAGGACAUCACCCACAGAAGAAGCACCGGCUAACUCCGUGCCAGCAGCCGCGGUAAUACGGAGGGUGCGAGCGUUAAUCGGAAUUACUGGGCGUAAAGCGCGCGUAGGCGGUCUGAUAAGCCGGUUGUGAAAGCCCCGGGCUCAACCUGGGAACGGCAUCCGGAACUGUCAGGCUAGAGUGCAGGAGAGGAAGGUAGAAUUCCCGGUGUAGCGGUGAAAUGCGUAGAGAUCGGGAGGAAUACCAGUGGCGAAGGCGGCCUUCUGGACUGACACUGACGCUGAGGUGCGAAAGCGUGGGUAGCAAACAGGAUUAGAUACCCGAGUAGUC